GUUCUCUCUACAGAAUCGGUUGCUACUCUUGAGGUGGUACACUGGUGUUGCUGCAGUUUGUUUCACGAAUCCGCUAUUUAAUUGAGGAUACAAUGGGGAUCUGUUUCAGUGAGUAUAUAUUGGAUGCUAAAUCACAGUUACAUGCUAAUGGAAUCAUUAAGAUGGAAAAGAAAUCGUUGACAUGUGCUUCGACCGAAUCACAAAGCUUGCUUUACGAAACAAGAAGGAUGCAACUCCUAUAAUGCAGAUUGCUGACACAUUGUUGAGGGAUCAAUGGAAGUUCUGAUAAGAUGUUUUAAUACACCGAAAACCACAACAAGGUGGAAUUCUUCAUGUCGAUCCCCCUAUUUUCUUUCUCACUUUCAAACUGGGAUUAAGGUCUACUUGUUAAAGAAGUGGUAUAUAAAAGCUUGUUAUCCUUUUAUAAGGGAAGAUAUUAUGAGAAGCUUUGGAGCUAAGUUUUACAAUAGAGAAAUUUUCACCCAAAAAAACGUUUAGACUUCUCGUGUAAACAUGUAGAUUUGGAAUUUGUUACAACAUUUGGAAUAUUUUUCAGAUCAAACUUAUUAUUGAAGUUAUAAUAUUAUGAUUU
rnacentral:lncRNA from 1 species